GAUGAACGCUGGCGGCGUGCCUAACACAUGCAAGUCGAGCGAGAAUUCUUUAACUGAUUCUUCGGAUGAUUUUAAAGAAGGAAAGCGGCGGACGGGUGAGUAACGCGUAGGCAACCUGCCUCUCACAGAGGGAUAGCCAUUGGAAACGAUGAUUAAAACCUCAUAACGCCACUUCGGGACAUCCCGGAAUGGCCAAAGAUUUAUCGGUGAGAGAUGGGCCUGCGUCUGAUUAGCUAGUUGGUGGGGUAACGGCUCACCAAGGCGACGAUCAGUAGCCGACCUGAGAGGGUGAUCGGCCACAUUGGAACUGAGACACGGUCCAAACUCCUACGGGAGGCAGCAGUGGGGAAUAUUGCACAAUGGGCGAAAGCCUGAUGCAGCAACGCCGCGUGAAGGAUGAAGGCCUUCGGGUCGUAAACUUCUGUCCUUGGGGAAGAAGAACUGACGGUACCCUUGGAGGAAGCCCCGGCUAACUACGUGCCAGCAGCCGCAGUAAGAC
rnacentral:rRNA from 1 species